UCCACUUGCACCAAAAUUACAUCCUGAAACUACAGCAUCACAAAGCCUUCACACACUCUUGACUCACAUUUGAGUCAUGUACAACACUUAAGUAUUAAAUAUUAUUUGCAAAACAACCAGUAUUGUCCAUUUAUGUGCGAUGGGGUAGGAGAGUUGGUGCUCCACACACAGAAGGAUGUCUGAGCAUGUGGCCCAUUAUUCACACCUAACACACAUCAGUACAUCUGUUUUGAAAUGCCGUUGCAUCCAGACUGUUGUCUAGUGGAUAAAGCCUCCUAUGGGCCCCAUAAAGUGUGCAAGGUGCCUGCAUUAGUCGUUUACUGUUGCAUGACAAAUCACCCCAAAAUGUAACAGCUUGAAACAGCAAUAAUCAUUUCACAUUUCUCACAGUUUCUGUGGGUCAGGAAUUUGGGAACAGCUCAGCUGGAGGCUCCGGCGCAGGGUCUCUCCUGAAGUUGCCGUCCAAGUGUCAGCUGGAGCUGUACCUGAAGGCUUGACUGGGACUGGAGGAUCCUCAUCCAAAGUGGCUCACUCUUAUGAUGUUCACGGGACUACAUGGUCUGGGCCCUCCGCCAGUGAUGUCUUCACUCCAAAGCAGCCUGACUCUUCAACUCAAGUGACCUUAUGUGGCCUAGGUUAAGAGCAUAAACUCGGGAUCCAGUCUGCUUAGAUUUUAAUCCCAGCUCUCUACUUCCCAGCUGGGUGACCCUGGCAAGAGAGGCUUCCUAGAAGAGGUGGAGGGAUUUCCAGGACUGGAACAAAGGGAGAGACCUUGACUCACAGGCAAGAAGACGAACUCAGAGGACAUCCUACCUCACCCAGUCUUUUUCAAAGGAGUCCCAGCAAAGGAGAGGUGCCUGACUAGGGAAUCCUACAUACCUACCAACUUCCAAAGGGCCAAAACUGAUCAAGAUGAGAUCAUACUGGAUUAGGAUGGGCCCUAAAUCCAACGACUGGUGUCCUUAGAAGAAGGAAAGAGGAUACACAGAGGGAAGAAGACCAUGUGAAGACAGAUACAGAGAUUGGAGUGACGGUACCAUAAGCCAAGGAACAACCGGAAUCACCAGGAGCUGAAAGAGCAAGGAAGAAUUGGAUUCCCUGUAGAAACUUCAGAGAGAGCACAGCCCUGCUGACAGCUUGACUUGGGACUUCUGGCCUCUAGAACUGUGGGAGAAUAAAUUCCUGUUGUUUUAAGCCACCCCAGUUUGCAGUACUUUGUUGCAGCAGCCUGAGGAAACUAAUCCACCAAUCAUCUCAGUUUACAGAGGAAGAAACCAAGUCCUGAAGAGAAACCAAGGUCAUCACUGUUCACCCACAGAAAGGUAGCAGCUAAACAGGGGCUAGAACCCAGCCCUCAGCCCCCAUCCAGGGCUCUCCCCUUAGGGAAUGCCCCAAGUCUUUGGCACAUGAUCUCACACCUAGGUUCGGGCCAGAGGAAGGCCUAUUUUGACAGAGCCACACAUCCCUGUGUGUGUAUGUCCUCCCCAGAGAGCACUCAGUGAGUGGAACCCACUUUUCCCGAUAAUGACUGACUCCUCAGUUCUGGGUGAGAGCUCUGACUGGUACAUCAUCUUGAGAGUUUGCUUGUAGCUGUCAUGAGAGAGGAAAUGCCAGCAAGCUCCCUCCCCCUGCUGAGAAGUUAAUCCCCAGAGACCUUGCUGACUGACACAUGGU